rnacentral:rRNA from 1 species
GUGAAACGGGAUUAGCCCAGCGCUUAAGGUUGAUGGUUUUACUGUUGACCGGUGUAGCGUAUAGAACUUGUGUUCGCUAACUCCUGGCUGGUUUAAGUUUCGUUGGAAUGCGGCGGCUUAGACGGUUUUACCCCGGUAUGACUGGCUGGAGUUGGUGAGUGUUGGUUCUGGGAGUCGGGUUGUUUGGAAACGCAGCCCAAAUUUGGUGGUAAACUUCACCUAAGGCUAAAUAUGACCGUGAGACCGAUAGAAAACAAGUACCGUGAGGGAAAGUUGAAAAGUACUUUGAAAAGAGAGUGCAAGAGAACGUGAAACCGGUGUAAUGGAAGCGAAUGGAGCUGUCGUAUCUGGUACGUAUUCAAUUGGCGAUCGUUGCAAUUGGGGUUAGCGUAUUUCCGCAAGGUGUGCCUGGCUUUUUGUUGUAGCGUUCGUUGAUGCACUUGCGUGCAGAGUGCGCCGGGUUGCGUGGUGCUGCUGAAUGAAGCGUGUUUAGAGGACUGAUUCGUCAGAACCCUGGGCGCGUGUAGUUUGGUUGGUGCUGCGUAGCUUCGUGGAGACGUGGGCCUACGCGUGCCAUUGUAUCGAUGCAAUCGGCCUUAUUAGUACACAUGUGUGCUGGUUUGGUUGGAGGUAUCGGUGCGGUGGUGUGCUCCGCGUUCUUCCCGGUGUAUAGACAGUGACCCAUUCGACCCGUCUUGAAACACGGACCAAGGAGUUUAUGGUAUGCGCAAGUCAUUGAGUUUGUUAAGCUUAAAGGCGUAAUGAAAGUGAGACAGUAUUUGUUUUAACGUGAUUAGGUGCGGCAUUCGUGCGGCCUAAGCAACGUUGCCCCAUUUCGAGGACUUGUCCUGUUGUGGAGGUUGAGCGUAUGCUAUGAGACCCGAAAGAUGGUGAACUAUGCCUGAACAGGACGAAGCCAGAGGAAACUCUGGUGGAAGUCCGAAGCGGUUCUGACGUGCAAAU